GACGAACGCUGGCGGCGUGCCUAACACAUGCAAGUCGAACGGGGGUAUUUAUUUCGAUGAAUACCUUAGUGGCGAACGGGUGAGUAACGCGUGAGCAACCUAUCCUUAAGAGGGGGAUAACAUCUGGAAACAGAUGCUAAUACCGCAUAAGACCACACUGCCGCAUGGCAGAGGGGUCAAAGGAGCAAUCCGUUUAAGGAGGGGCUCGCGUCCCAUUAGAUAGUUGGUGAGGUAACAGCUCACCAAGUCAGCGAUGGGUAGCCGAGCUGAGAGGCUGAUCGGCCACACUGGAACUGAGACACGGUCCAGACUCCUACGGGAGGCAGCAGUGGGGAAUAUUGGGCAAUGGGGGGAACCCUGACCCAGCAACGCCGCGUGAGGGAAGAAGGCCUGGUUGUAACGUACUGUCAUUAGGAGAAGAAAGUAGAGGUACCUAAUAGAGGAAGCCCCGGGCCUAACCGUACGUAGCCACGCAGCCGCGGUAAACCGGUAAGACGUG
rnacentral:rRNA from 1 species